rnacentral:lncRNA from 1 species
GGGAUGGUAAUUUGUUCAAGAUCAAAGAGCUUGUCAGCAGCGGAGCAGAGACCUGGGCUAAUUCCCAACAUUCGUAUCUUCUAUUACACCAGGCAGCCUUCGGAUGAAUGACUGUCCUUCUUCCCUUUUCUGAAUUUCUUAUCUCCGUCUCAUCCUUCCAUGGUCCUCCCACCCAAGCUCUCUCUGAUAUUGCUCCUUCCUACUUCACCCCCCACGUGGCUUACUUUUCCCAGGCUGUCACCUCUCCCAUUUCAUGCCAUCUGUCACCCAAGCAGGUGCCUCUGUGAGGACUGUGUGUCCUAGGUUUAGCACACUGCUGGUAUUCAGAACACAGAACAUGGAACCUCAUGGCUACAUCCUCAGAUGCUGAGAUGUUAGCUGGGUGUCACAAGAUCAAGGACAUAAAUAAACCCUUCACAGCCUAAAUCUGUUGGAAACCAGAAAGCAAGCAAGGCCAUAGCUUGUUAACACCAGGCUUUCUUGGAACAGUUAUCAGGUGCCCAGAGAUGGAAGCCACCCUGACUGGGGAUGAGCAGUUACUUCACCAACUCAAACUGGCUUAGACGGUCAGUGCUACCACCUGGCAUGUCAACAAAGGAUGGAGGAAGUGCAGUGCUGCUCCCCGCAAUGAUAUGAGCUGCAAUGGUGUCCUUUGGGCUGAUUUCCUCUCUCCACCCACGUCCGAAGUUUUGGGGCGUCUCUUUAGAGUUCUUUCUCUCUAGCCACAAGUCCUGCAGGCCAUUGGAAGACUAGGCUGCAGAAAGCUCAAACUGUUCCUUCCAUUUUGGGACCAGGGAACAGAGCUCACUUAAUGCUGCUCUCCCACUGAUGAUGCCCACCCAUUCUCGGCCUGCAAGCCCUACCACUCACAGCUUCAAAAAUGGCUCCGCCCUUCCUGAUUCCACCCCACACAGAAGAAAGCAACUUCUUGUGAUGCUUCCUUAUUCUGGAUGUGGCUCACCUCUUACCCCUUCCAACUCCUUUGGGUCCCCUAGAAAGCCUCCCUGGCUAAGGGGUACAGGCCCUCUCCUCAGCAGUGGGCACUGACCGUCUAACCAGGGCUCUGUCUCGGCACCUGGUAGCAAGGACGGCAAGAUACAACAACAUGCUGAUUUUAAUAGCCUCUGGCUUUCUCCACUGCGUUUCUCACCUGAAUGCCCUGCACACCAAAUCUUCCAUGGGGUCACCCUUGACCUCUAGGGCAAUUCCCAAGAAUCUAGCAGAGGAGUGGGGGAAACCAAAAGGCUGACAUGAAGGACUCAAGGGAAGCCUCUGGAAAGAAGAGACCAGACACUAAAAGGGAUGUGUGUGAAAUACUGGUUUUUAUUGGUUGGCACAAGAUUACAACCUACAAUUUCAAUGCCCUUCCCUCCCACACAGCUCAAAUGGAAGGAAACUGAUUAACACAUAGAAAGGAACGGCAGGCUCACAGGUUUAAGCAUUUGUUUUUACAAAAAGGAGUGGGAUAUGGGGGUGGUCAAGUUUUACGGGUAAUAACAACAUUCUCUCUAGAUGGCAGGGGGUAAGUCUGCCUGUCCUCCAUUGCUGGUACCACAUAAGGGAUACAUUAGUAAAGUAGGGAAAGGGUUAUAUGUGUGGCUGGCCUGUUCUUUAGAGAGGAAGGUGGGAUGGUAUCUGCUGUGUACCUGUCUCAGACCAAACCUGGGGCUGGACCAGUGCCCCUUUCUUCUCAGCCCUCCUCCACAGCCUGACUGUACUGCCAGCCGCACCCAUGAGAAGGAGGUGUGAAGGAAGCCUGAGGACAUCCACCUCGAGAAAAGGAAACAGGAAAACUAUUUCCUUCCGCCUUCUCUGGACCAAAUUUCACUCCCCUCAGCUCCAGAGAGUGCUGCAAAAAUCUUCCUUAGGGACGCUGUGAAGACACGGGGAAGAGGCCAGCCCUGAGCGGGCAAGAAGAAAAGCUUGAACUUUCCAUGCAGUACCAAGCAAGGCUAUUUUGGAAACAAGCAAACAAACAAAAAAUGGAAACCAACACCAUAUAACCACAGGUUGGGUAGCUCCUAAAUCCUGGACAGCAUUUGGAUUGGGGGUAAGGGCAAUUUUACUCCAGCUCCUUGUUUUAUAACCCGCACAAGGUGCCAAGAGGUUUAAGGACCACAACUGACCUCUCUUUCCCUACAAGCACCAUUCCUUGGAUUCCCAGUUUUGUUGAGCUCAUUUGAGGUCAUCCUUGCCAUCCUCUUAAAAAAUGACACAGCCUCUUGGUUAUUCCAUUUUCUAUCCCUUUCUACAAUUAUGAACACACUCUCUAAACAGGAGAUCUAUAUAUGCUCUCAUCCUGCAACCCAAGAGAUUAGGUGACCUAAUGAUGAGAAGGCUAACUUAUUUGCUUUCCUGGGUGGUCCUGAUGGAAAUGAACAGCAGCAGAGUUCUGGUGGGAUAGAGCAGUCUAGUCUGAGCCACUGUGUGAUUCCCCAGGGGACUGGUCCCUGGGUACAUGGGUCCCUGGCUCUCUGUCUCAGUUCCACAGAUAUUACUCAACUUGGCCAUUUACGCCUCAGCUAAAACAUAUGAGCAUGAGGGAAAAGGGACAAGAAAUACUUUUGUCCUCUAGAAAAACUUAACUCAAUACAUCUUGGCUACUUUGCCUCAACCCACGGGGUUCCCUGGAAACAUUUGUUGAACUUGGCCAAGAGGAGAUUGUAUAUGGAUGGCACACCUGGAAAAGGGGAGAAAGCACACUAGUUCAUCUCUUUUAUAAGUAGAAUGGUCCCAGGGAUGUUAACCUUUCUGAUGCUGAUAGUAGAUGAGUGGAGUGGAGGUAAUCGUGAGAAAACUUAAAAACCCUUAAGCUGUUUGGAGACUACACACCACAGUGGAGCAAACCAAGGUGGGGCCUCACUGCCUCCUCAGAGCCCAUCCCUGACCAUGUCAUUGGAUAGGAUGGAAGACAAAGUCUUUGAAAUGGAGGCUGGGCUGGCAAAAGUAAGUAUGAAGAUGCUACUACUGGCCUUCCACUUCCUCUCUCUGAUACACCUAAGAAGGUGAGAGACACUAGCUUCAAUUCCAUUUUACAACAGUUCUCAACAACCUGAAAUAUUCUUGACUUCCUUAAGCACAUGGAAAACUGGUAAGCUAUAUCUUUCUAACUGAAAUUUUACUUAUUCUAACCACCAACCUUUUCUUUGAUUAUCAACCAGUUUGACAGUCUUCAGAUCACAAAACAAUAGAACAGACCUGACAUUUACAAAACUGUACUACAUACUUAUUUCUUUUACAGUAGAGCUGACCAAUUACUUUUCUAACUACUAAUGCAACACCAUGCCACUGGGCCCUGGACUCUGAUGUUUCUGAUCCCUGAGCAACACAUCUAUGUCCAUUCACAGAUGGAAAUGAAAGAGUGAGAUUCUCAGAGGCUAAACAACAUUCUGGGAGCAAAUUGGAUUUUUGAAGGGAGAGUCCUCUUAGAAAAUUCUGAGCAAACAUGCUCCCAGUCACGAGGGAUGGGGUGAGCGGGCAGGUUUCUGUCUGUGAGCUAUAGCUCCCUUCUGAACUCCCUCAUGUUCUUGGGAGGACACAAGCCUCUUGCUCAUUAAGCAAAGGCCCUCCAAGUCUCCUUUUUACUUCAGCACUUUGGAAACUCUCCAAGACUUAACUUCCGAUCUGGGGAGGUUCUACGUGGAGCAGACCUAUCCCUUCUUAUUCCUGUUCCUGGGUGUCUCCAUAAUCAGCCUCUACCUUCCCUGGCAUAAGUCAUAUCUGUUAUGCUGCAGGAACUGAGUAACCAAAGCUAGAUAUCCCUUGGACCACUGAUUAGUGACACAUUUUCUCCACAACAAAGGGAGGUUAAAGACAAAGGUUUAACCUGAGAAACUUUUUUUUUGGCAAGAUAAUAAAGAGGUUAAAGAGGCUACGUGGAUCUGUCACUGCUUUAGCUUACCAUUUUCAAUUCAGCACCAAAGUGCUCAGAAAGACAGGCUCAGAUCAGGACGACUUCUUAAAGGGAUUCACAGGCAAUAUUACUGGCAAAAUGAUUUUCCAAAGCUGAGCCACGCGCCCCACCCUACAGGGAGGGGAGUAGAAUCUUAUGGCCCAGCAUUGGCAUUGAGGCAUCUUGCUUUUUUUCCUCAGAAUUCCACAAAGGCUUAAGAGUGAUCUAAAUGCCUGGCUGGAAGCUCAAGUCUAGGAGAGCUAUUUUACUGCACUGUUGAGAUGUUCUCUGCAAGGUGAUAUCCCAAGUGACACAGAAACACAGCUCCUCCGGAUGGUGAAGUCUCCGCUGCAAAACUCACGAAACAGCACAGAGGAUGACUCUAGGGUGCUCUCCCACUUGCUCCAAGUUAGGCAGGUGCCCUGAUGGAGGCAAGGCUGAGCCAUUAACAUGCACAGCUCCAUAUCCUGGAAGCCUCUGUAGCCUUGAGGAGAUAGGCUCUAUCCAACAGGACUCAGAAUAAAUGACUGCCACCUCAACUGAGCAGUAUGAACUGCCCACCUCAACUGGGCAGUCUGACCUCUUCCACAGUCUUUAAGAAACAGAAGAGCCAUUUGCAUUAUUUAAUCACCAUUCAAUAAUCUCCUCCCUCCCCAUAGCUGCUUGAGUUAACUGUCCCACAAGUGUCCUGUGUUUUGUAAAGAUGAGGGUUAUUUUCUGAAAUGCAGAUGGGACUAGGAUGAAGCUGUAUUAUCAAUUACAGAGACAGCCAACUCUCAUUUCUCUUAAAGCAAAAAUUCAUUCCACUGUGAUUUCUCCAGGUAUUUCCUGCAAUUCUAAAUCCGCCCUUGAUAUUAGAGAAUAUUAAAAUCACACAGUUGUGGCAAAAAUCACAUUGUGGCUAUUAAAUCCUUUUUGUGAACUAAAAAAAGUGAAUGUGGCUUAGGCUAAGCUGUUUUUUUUUUUUUUUUUUUAAAGAUGAGGAUGCGGACUCCAACAAAGGCAUUAAGAAAGUACUAGAUGAAAAUGAGAAAUAUGUGAAGGAUAACAUGUGAAAUGUACACUCAGGUCUAACAAAUACCUAUUAUUUCUCUGGUUAAGAAGGUUUAGCAGGAGCCUCCAAUGAGCACUGUAUGUAGAGAAAAGGGAAGGAGCAGGAGGAGGAACAGAUCUGCACAGAAUUUUUUUCUUAAAAACCACAAAGGGUGACUUUUUUCUUCUAAGCAAGCAAGCCUGAGAGGCAUUACAUGGGCUGGCUCCUAAUAUCAAAACAAAAUAUUUCUUUGCCACAAAGGAACUUGACUAUGUAGCAACACAUUUACAAAACUACUGCAAAACACUCCCAGAGGGCAGUGACCUACUCUGCUCCCCAGAGGCUCCAAGAAGCAAGGCCUCAAGUGCCUCAUGUUCCAUGGGGCUGUGCAGUGCAAUGCAGAAGGCGGAAAUCCUGCUGUGACGCCACCCUCGAGACCUUCUGCAGCCUGAGAGGGGGUGAUACUCCCACACCCUUUGAUCCUUCCAGAUGGCUCAGCCUAGAUCUAGCAGUGAGAGAGCCCUCUCCAUGCAGGGCAGAUGGAGUGGUGGACACUUGUGAAAACAAAACACUAACUGUUCCAUCCUGUUAUAUUUGCUGUGAGGAAAAUUAAGAUUCCUGUUGUAUGGGCUGCACUGUUUCUGGAAGACUACAGAAAAUCUAACAUGGUUGACACUUCCUGGUAGCCCUUCUGUACAUACACACACACACACCCAGAGAGAAGACAGAGAGAAAAUCCUGGUCCAAAAGAUCACAUGACCUUACUAGUGUUUCCCCAAUGACUGUAAUUUAUAAACUAAAAAUUUUUACAAAUCCACUGCUAUCUUCUUCUGUCCUGAGUUUGGUAGACUUUAAUGGAUGCUCCAGCAAUAACCAGAAUCUAGGACAUGCAGACUCACUGUGAGCGAGAGGCUAGGGAUCUGCCCUAAACAUAGGAACCUGUUUCUAUCAAGCCUGAAUGAGGUCAGCUCUGGUAGAAUUAAUGACAAAUCAAUGUCAGUGAAAUAUUCUGCAAACAGGGUAGCUUUUGUGCUUUCUUUUGAUUAUUUUCUUUGGGGAGAUAAAGGUAUUGCAACCAUGGGUCUAACUAAUCUAUCACUAAAGGACUGUGACGACAUUCUCAAUAAAGACAGUCAUGGUGUUUACUGUGCCAAGGAGGGAAAAUCCCAGAUCAUCAGAAUCCCAGUGCAACAGAAAACAGCACCAGUUUCAACAAUUCUGAUGUUGGACAAAGCCUCUUUUUGUCAGUUAAGAAAGCGUAAGCACAAUCUCUCAGUCAAUUGCAUUAACAGGAAUCCAUUCAUGUCACUGAAAAAUACUUCUUGGCACAGUUCACUUUCCUGACCCAAAGACACCAACAACAAUCAAAACUGCACUUUCAGGGUAGUAUAUUGUUACACUAGCCCAGUCAAAACAUACUCAGAACAUUUAAAAAUGUAUAAAUUACUGUUAGCACUGCAGUUCCGUUUUAUUUUCUUAUUUAUUUAUUAAGACAGAGUCUUACUCUGUUGCCCAGGCUGGAGUGCAGUGGCAUGAUCUUGGCUUACUGCAACCUCUGCCUCCCAGGUUUAAGCAAUUCUCAUGCUUCAGCCUACCAAGUAGCUGGGAUUACAGGAGUGCACCAUCAUGCCCAGCUAAUUUUUGUAUUUUAGUAGAGAUGGGGUUUUGCCAUGUUGGUCAGGCUGGUCUCAAACUCCUGGCCUCAAGUGACCCACCUGCCUUGGCCUCCCAAAGUGCUGGGAUUACAGGUGUGAGCCACUACACCCAGCCCUGCAGUCCCUUUUUAAAGAGUACUGACUGUUUUCCUGCAAAGUACUUUCAAAUCCAUACCAUAAAGGUAGAAUUUAUCUGGAAGAAUGUGUUUUUUGAAUUCCACCUGGCACUUGGUUAAAUCUACUUUAUUUUGCCCUUUAUUUAUUUGAACAGAACUUUAGAAUGCUCUAGGUCAGGAAAAGAAACAGUGUGUUCGUUUUUAAGAAGGAUGUGUGAAUAGUAAGUUGGCAUUCAGACUCAAGUCCCAUGGUAUUGUUCUUAUCCAAUGGGACCUCUCCUUGGGAAUAUAAUUCCUUUCCCAGAGGUAUCAUGGUAUCCCAAGAAUAUAACUGCUCUUUGGCUCUGUGUGUGAAGAUUGGGGGAGAGGAUGUAAACUAAGAGUAUAUAGCAAAAAAAAAAAAAAAAAUUUUUUUUUUUUUUUUUUGAGAUGGAGUUUCACUCUUAUCACCCAGGCUGGACGACAGUGGUGCAAUCUCGGCUCACUGCAACCUCUGCCUCCCAGGUUCAAGCGAUUAUCUCGCCUCAGCCUCCCAAGUAGCUGGGAUUACAGGCGCCCACCUAAUUUCUGCAUUUUUAGUAGAGACGGGGUUUCACCAUGUUGGUCAGGCUGGUCUCAAACUCCUGACCUCAGGUGAUCCACCUGCCUCAGCCUCCCAAAGUGCUGGGAUUACAGGUGUGAGCCACCGUGCCCAGUGAGUAGACAGCAAAAUUUAAAGUUCACCAACUGAUGUUCCCAAAAGUGCUGAACACUAAAUGACACAGGGCUAUGAGGUACAUACAUUUCUUUUAGUAGGAGGGAAAAGUAAAAGCUUUUCAAAGUUUGAGUGCUUUAUUAGAAUUUUUAAAUGAGGCGAACUAUGAUUUUAAUUUCACAUCUUGGCUAAGGAGAUGCCACUGGAGUACAGAGAUAAUCUCCUGUCUUAAGCCACGGAUCAGUCAGUGUAGCCCUCCCUACCCCUCAAUCUCAAGACCCUCUUACUUCCGAACUAAACAACACAAUUGGCAAAUGAAGCCAGCACGAAACUGUAUCAAAAAACAAGAGAGUCUGCAGUGAGCCAGUGUAUUAUGUAACCACUGUAAUAAGUGAUUACGUGGCCUCCCAUAUGGACCUUUCAUAUCCUGGUGGGAGAUGGGAGACCAAUUUAAUAGCUCUGAGCAUGCUCCAUGGUGCAAUCACAAGUGCCAUGCCAAUACAAAGACAAGCAAGCAGGUGAAUUUCCCUAGUGUACUUUUCAGGAACACGGUUACUCAGUUCAGGGACAGGACUACAUUGAUGCACCUGCAAAGUAAAGUUGGAUGCUUCAGAGCACAUGGAUGAUACCCAGGUCAGCACGGUGUAAGGCAUAUAUGGACACAAAGAGAGGCCAUUGUUGGCAAUAAAUAGCAUUACGGAAAAGAUUCCAAACCAGCAGAACAGAAAUGGACCUGAUGCUCCAGUUUUUUAGAUAAGUAAUCCCAAGAAUCCAGUUCCAACUCUACUGUCAACAUGUGGGGCAGAAUUCAAUUUCUAUCAUUGUUUUUACAGAUCUGGGCUGAGGCCAUUUGCUCCUUGCUUGGUUAAAAAAAAAUAAAAAAAUAAAAAAAGGUUUCUUCCUGUUUCUUUCUGGGCAGGGAAAUACAGCUUAAAGAAGGAAAGGCCAUGAGUCCUGGGAGCACUAUGAAGGUAGCUAAACUCUUCCCAUAUCUACAGUCAAUGACUGGGAAAUAGAGAAAGGACAGGGCAACCUGCCCAGCCACUAGCAUCGAAAACAAAAAGGUAUGUUAAUUGUGAGGCUCUCAAUUCUAGAAAUGCCCAAAUUAAAAGAGAAAAAAACCUUGAAAAAUUAAACAAAUUUCUCUUUCUAGAAGUCAUUUAUUUACAUAUUAUAUGUCCGAUAUAUAAUGUGUAGAUAAAUGUAUACUGCAGUGAAAGUGACCACUCUACUGAACUGUACAGCACAUUAUAGGACAAAUUAUUGGAAGUUUUCAUCUCAUACUGGUAUCUUUUAAUAAAAAAAAAAAAUUAAAAAUCAAAGAAAACGUCUGGCCAGGGCCAGGAUAAG